CGCGGCCUAUCAGCUUGUUGGUGGGGUGAUGGCCUACCAAGGCGACGACGGGUAGCCGGCCUGAGAGGGCGACCGGCCACACUGGGACUGAGACACGGCCCAGACUCCUACGGGAGGCAGCAGUGGGGAAUCUUGCGCAAUGGGCGAAAGCCUGACGCAGCGACGCCGCGUGAGGGAUGACGGCCUUCGGGUUGUAAACCUCUUUCAGCCCUGACGAAGCGAAAGUGACGGUAGGGGCAGAAGAAGCACCGGCCAACUACGUGCCAGCAGCCGCGGUAAUACGUAGGGUGCAAGCGUUGUCCGGAAUUAUUGGGCGUAAAGAGCUCGUAGGUGGCCUGUCGCGUCGGCUGUGAAAACUCGGGGCUCAACUCCGAGCUUGCAGUCGAUACGGGCAGGCUAGAGUGCGGCAGGGGAGACUGGAAUUCCUGGUGUAGCGGUGAAAUGCGCAGAUAUCAGGAGGAACACCGGUGGCGAAGGCGGGUCUCUGGGCCGAUACUGACACUGAGGAGCGAAAGCGUGGGGAGCGAACAGGAUUAGAUACCCUGGUAGUCCACGCCGUAAACGUUGGGCGCUAGGUGUGGGAUCCCUUCCACGGGUUCCGUGCCGCAGCUAACGCAUUAAGCGCCCCGCCUGGGGAGUACG
rnacentral:rRNA from 1 species